rnacentral:lncRNA from 1 species
CAAGAUACUUAGCCAUGCUGUCCUCCCGUGCUUCGUAAUUUUCAUUGACUUGUCCCACUGCUAGUUGAGAGUCACUGUGGACCCGGAGCCGAUCGAUUUUCAGCUCUUUGGCGAUCCUCAGUCCUGCGAUCAGAGCUUCAUAUUCUGCUCCGUUGUUCGUUGUGGAAAACUCGAAGCGCAGAGCGUACGCCACGAUGAUUCCCUCCGGACUGG